GACGAACGCUGGCGGCGUGCUUAACACAUGCAAGUCGAACGGAAAGGCCCUGCUUUUGUGGGGUGCUCGAGUGGCGAACGGGUGAGUAACACGUGAGUAACCUGCCCUUGACUUUGGGAUAACUUCAGGAAACUGGGACUAAUACCGGAUAGGGGCUCCUGCUGCAUGGUGGGGGUUGGAAAGUUUCGGCGGUUGGGGAUGGACUCGCGGCUUAUCAGCUUGUUGGUGGGGUAGUGGCUUACCAAGGCUUUGACGGGUAGCCGGCCUGAGAGGGUGACCGGCCACAUUGGGACUGAGAUACGGCCCAGACUCCUACGGGAGGCAGCAGUGGGGAAUAUUGCACAAUGGGCGGAAGCCUGAUGCAGCAACGCCGCGUGCGGGAUGACGGCCUUCGGGUUGUAAACCGCUUUCGCCUGUGACGAAGCGUGAGUGACGGUAAUGGGUAAAGAAGCACCGGCUAACUACGUG
rnacentral:rRNA from 1 species